GCGAACGUCCCCUUCGGGGGACUAGUAGAGUGGCGAAAGGGUGAGCAAUGCAUGGGUAACGUACCCUGGACACGAGGACAGCCCACCGAAAGGCGGGUUAAUACUCGAUGAGACCACGGCCCCCCCGGGGGCAGCGGUCAAAGGGCGGGGAUCCCUUCGGGGACCUGUCGGUCCGGGAGCGGCUCAUGUCCUAUCAGCUUGUUGGUGAGGUAACGGCUCACCAAGGCGACGACGGGUAGCGGGACUGAGAGGUCGGCCCGCCACAUUGGCACUGAGACACUGGCCAAACUCCUACGGGAGGCUGCAGUCGAGAAUCUUCCCCAAUGGACGCAAGUCUGAGGGAGCGACGCCGCGUGCGGGAGGAAGCCCUUCGGGGUGUAAACCGCUGUCAGGGGCCGCCAAGCGAUGGGGACGAACAGUCCCCAAAGUUGAGGAGCCCCAGAGGAAGCCACGGCUAACUUCGUGCCAGCAGCCGCGGUAAGACGAAGGUGGCUAGCGUUGAUCGAAAUCACUGGGCUUAAAGCGCAUGUAGGCGGCCCGUUAAGCGUCGUGUGAAAGCCCUCGGCCCAACCGAGGAAUGCCACGGCGAACUGGCGGGCUUGAGGUAGGUAUGGGCGAGUGGAACUCUUGGUGGAGCGGUGGAAUGCGUAGAUAUCAAGAGGAACACCGGUGGCGAAGGCGACUCGUUGGGCCUGUCCUGACGCUGAGAUGCGAAAGCCAGGGGAGCAAACGGGAUUAGAUACCCCGGUAGUCCUGGCCCUAAACGAUGUCCACUAGGCUGAGGGUUCUCUGACGGAUUCC
rnacentral:rRNA from 1 species